AUUGAACGCCGGCGGCAUGCCUUACACAUGCAAGUCGAACGGUAACGCGGGGGCAACCCUGGCGACGAGUGGCGAACGGGUGAGUAAUACAUCGGAACGUACCCAGUAGUGGGGGAGUAGCUCGGCGAAAGCCGGAUUAAUACCGCAUACGACCUAUGGGUGAAAGCGGGGGAUCGCAAGACCUCGCGCUAUUGGAGCGGCCGAUGUCGGAUUAGCUAGUUGGUGAGGUAAAGGCUCACCAAGGCUACGAUCCGUAGCUGGUCUGAGAGGACGACCAGCCACACUGGGACUGAGACACGGCCCAGACUCCUACGGGAGGCAGCAGUGGGGAAUUUUGGACAAUGGGCGAAAGCCUGAUCCAGCCAUGCCGCGUGUGUGAAGAAGGCC
rnacentral:rRNA from 1 species